CUACGUGCCAGCAGCCGCGGUAAUACGUAGGUGGCAAGCGUUGUCCGGAUUUAUUGGGCGUAAAGCGAGCGCAGGCGGUUCCUUAAGUCUGAUGUGAAAGUCCCCGGCUCAACCGGGGAGGGUCAUUGGAAACUGGGGAACUUGAGUGCAGAAGAGGAGAGUGGAAUUCCAUGUGUAGCGGUGAAAUGCGUAGAUAUAUGGAGGAACACCAGUGGCGAAGGCGACUCUCUGGUCUGUAACUGACGCUGAGGCUCGAAAGCGUGGGUAGCAAACAGGAUUAGAUACCCUGGUAGUCCACGCCGUAAACGAUGAGUGCUAGGUGUUAGACCCUUUCCGGGGUUUAGUGCCGUAGCUAACGCAUUAAGCACUCCGCCUGGGGAGUACGACCGCAAGGUUGAAACUCAAAGGAAUUGGCGGGGGCCCGCACAAGCGGUGGAGCAUGUGGUUUAAUUCGAAGCAACGCGAAGAACCUUACCAGGUCUUGACAUCCCUCUGACCUCUCUAGAGAUAGAGAUUUC
rnacentral:rRNA from 1 species